rnacentral:ncRNA from 1 species
AUGUUGUAUGAAAGGAGAGAAGGUCAGCACUCCCCUUGAUAAGGAUGGAAGAGGUCCUUAGUGGCCUUUACAGCACAUAUACGGUUAAGGCAUUGCCACCUACUCUGUGGCAUCUAACCUUUUUUU